GCGACAAAAACAGACCGAUUACGAGACAUUUUCCUGGAUUACAUGAAGUGCCAGUGAGAGAGAGAAAUUCCAGAGAACUCUUUCAUUACGUGCCUCAGUUUCCCCACCCACACUCUUUUUAAAGACAUUAGGACACUGGCCACUUCCUCACCAAAGGAUGAGGUAACGAAGAAACAAAGUGGCUUUGGGUGUUGUGUUUGAGGGGGAUAGUUUGGUUUAGUUUGGAUUUUAUUACAGAUUUGCACUUCCUGGAGCAAUACGUCAACCCCAAUACCCACAUCUACGCUGCAAGAUUUGCACUUAUACAAAUUUUGUGCUGCAGUUCUGCAAUGGGUUAAAAAAUGUGAAUAUCAGGGGGCAUUCAUUAAAAUUGCAGACUAAAAGGCAUUAGGUUAGGGAAAUGUGCUUGCAAAAGUGUCUAUAUUAGGCAAAAGCUAUUUUUUUUAAAAAAAUGUAUAUUAUGAGAAAUACACACUAAAUAUUGACAAUUUUUUGUGAUUACCUUUUAAAAAAAUGGUAAACUGAUGUGGAAAUGUUGCAAACUGAAUUUACGACUGAAUAAGAAACUGACAAGAUUUAUCCAUCCCUUUAUGUGGGAAAGAGGUGGUAUACAGUAUAUCCUUGGUGAAUCUGUUGCAUCCAACUUUUUACUCAAUAGUGGUAGAUUCAUCAAAGUUAAUGGCCUACUCUGAGAAUGACUUAAGGUUGGACACAGCCCCAUUUAUUCAGUAUCAAUGCGUGUAAGAAGAUUCCCAAAGGCUUCCAGGUCUUUGCAAAAAGUUGGCCCAGACUGGCAGAGUCAGCAAAUUUCUCAUCCAGGGCUCAUUUCCAGCCAAGAAAAGCCGUUGCUGGAUGAGAAGUUAAGCAACUCAGCCACACCCAAAGCCAGAGUGACAAAACGGUUUGGGGAUUGGCGUCAUUUCCCACCUCAAUUUUCAUUAUUUUAUUUUUAAAGGUGCAUGGUCUGAUCUGGGUUUGCAGAAAGGCCUAGCUAAGAACAGGCAUCAUUUUCAAGUUGGCAAUGUGUGUGUGUGUGGGUGUGUGUGUGUGUAUGGGUAUGUAAGUGCCAUAAAGGCUGCAAGGGGGUGCAAGUUGGUUGUGUUGUGUGGAGGCUUGUUUGGUUAGAUUCCAUCUCAUAUCUAGGAAGGAAGAAAACUGUUUUGAAAUUGCUGUAAAAGCCAAUGGCAGGGAAAGAAAAAUUGAGCAAUGAUUCAGCAAAGAAACAAAUUUAGAGUGCAGGAAGGUUGAUUAACCAAACAGCAUAUUUAUCUCUUCUGAACACAAGUGAACAUUUGCAAUUAAGAAUAAAGUCUACAGAUAUUCCAGAAUUGCUUUGAGAAUGUUAUUCACUGAGAGAUGUGAAUACUCUAAAAAUCUAACUUCUGAGGUACUAUUCAAAAUAUAUACAGUACCUCUCAUCUUUGGAUCUGAAGAUGUAGACUGUGAAGAAUCUGAGGAACACGAAAAUGUCAGUUAGUGAUUUUUCAGUCAGCACUCCUAAGCCUUUAAUAGUUGCACAACAGGCAGAAAUUAAAGAGGGAACGUUUCUCCAGAAUUCAAAGUGAAAGUCAUACAAGAUUGUUUCCAUUUGUUCCCUUUCAGGAACCUGGGAUGACUACAAAUCUCUCCAGGGCACUCCCAAAAGCUUUGGGUCGAUGCCUGGAAGGGACAUCAGUCUCACAUUACAAGGUAGAAGAUGGCUUUUCCAUGUAGCUGUUUAUCAAUAUAGCACCUUUUUGCCACCUAAAGGGACCCUUUCCUGCUUCUAAAUCUUUCCUCUGAUCUCCACAACUGUGGUCUCUCUUCUUAGCUUUCCUGGCUCUUUCUCCUCAACAAGCCUUUUCUCUUUAAAAGCUACUGGCAUGAAACAUUUGCUUCAAGAUGCAGGGAAACUCUUGCAUUAGCUUCUGCUGCAACAGCCUAAAACUUCUCUGGUUCCUUCCCUCUCACAUUUCACGUCUACAUUUCAAGAUUCUAGUCCUCACUGUGCAAACAUCUCUCUCUCACUCUUCUCCCCACUUAUGUUACUUUCUUUGUUCCUCACAAUAUCACUGGUGCUAUGGGCACUGGACAGAGGCUUGAGGGUAUUGUGCCAAGGGAUGUAAUCUCACUGGGGUACUCUGGAGAAGGGUCAUGCCAUUGGUACCAAAAAUUGGGCAACACAGGGGUGUGGAACCUCUGGCCUGAAAGACAAACACAAGCACCCAAGGUUCUCUAUUUGGCACUUGGGCUCUCUCCAAGCCACACCCUUCACUGGUCUUCACUGGUGUCUCAAGGUGGGGAGUGAGCAUGUGUACUUAAAAAUGGAAAGCGUAAUGCUGGUGGUCAACAAAAGUGGUUUAAAGACUGUCUCAAGGCAAAUCUAAAAAAAGUAGUAUAAACACUGACAACUGGGAAACACCAGUUGGAGAACAGCCUUUACCAAAGGUGUCAUGGGUUUUGAAGACACUCGAACUCAGGACGCAAGGGAGAAAUGUCCUUAGAGGAAGGCACGCUUGGCAAAUCCACACCGUGAUCAACUCCUGCCCGGAAACCAAUGUGCCCUCCACAGUCCCUUACGGACUCAUUGUUAAAACCAUGUUUAUGGAAGACAAUCUUACUCAGCUAUGAGUGAUUGCCAAAGAAGAUAAAGAACAUUUGCAUUCAUUGCUCCACACAGUAUUGUUUCUGGCCCAGCCCACCAAUGGAAAGUUGCCCAGAAGGAAAUGUGGUCCUUAAUCUGAAAAAAAGGGUCUGCACCUCCAUUUUAGCACUGCUGUCUAUGCAUUUGUCUGACAGUCCAGCUCUGAGUGCAGAUUCUGGAAAAUGAGAAACUGCAGCUUGGCUGUCUAAUAAGAAUGGGCUGGCCCUGUCAUGGCUGCUUAAGCGUUUUUGUGGCUUUAAACAGAAAAUCCACAACAAUGUCCUCCUUGCCUCCUGCCAAUUAACAUGGGCCACAAUCCAGCGACAUCUGGGUUUGGGUGUUUAUUGGUUUUUGCACAGUGCUGAAAUAAGCAGUUGCUCUGUUUAGUGAAUGUGGAAUUCCUCAGAACCCGGUGCUUCCCACUAAUUUUAAUUGGCAAUAAAACUAAGCCAAUCUUGCAAAGCCUGGAUAAAAAUCUUUCGAACUUCUCCCAUACUGCUCAGCCGAGGAGGAGUUUGGAAUUUUUGAAAGCCUCGAUGAUACCAGAUGCAUAUUGCAUUUCUGUUCCAUCACCAGCCCUUCUGGCAAGUAGAGAAGUGGGAAUUGUUUAAAGGGCAUUAUGAAUGUAGGAAGCUGUCUUAAGCCCAGUCAGACCACUGGUCCAUCUUGCUCCAUACUGUCUACACUAACUGGCAGUGAUUCUCCAGGGUUUCAGACAUGCAAUUAAUCCCAGCCCUACUCGAAGAUGCUCAGGGCAGGGAUGUGACUUUGUUCAUUGUGUCUCUCAAUACCAGAGAAUUUAAGGGGUGGGAAAAGACUGCAUGGAGGGGACUUCAAGACCCAAUUGUGGGCUUCCUGCUGGGAUGGAUCCAAGAAGGCAAAUUCUUGUGUGGCAAUGUACCAGCUUGUGUAUCUGAAAAAGGAGUGUGUCCCCAGGACAACCUCAGAGCCAAGUGUGGGCUAACCUUAACACACCAGGUGUGCGAAAGUACAUUGCAAGGAAUGUUCUUGAGGUGUGCUCCUCUCGGUUCAGCUUUCAGGAACCAGUUUGGUUAAGGUAAUUGAGCAGAGAAAAAGGGCUCGCUGCACCCAUCUCUCCCCAGAACCCCCCUUGUGAGCAUUAGUCAGGGGAAUUUUAUCUGAUCUCCCCAAUUCGAAAACAAAGGGGCAGCUUGAUCUCCCCGGAAGGUAUAGGAAUGUUUACAGGAAGAUGCAGAAUACAGGAGGCUGGUAACUAGGGGAACCUCUCGUCUUUUGAAAGAACGUCUCAUUCUUCUCUAAGAAAAUGUGUCAUAAUGUUUAUGAAGAGUUCUCUGAAAACACGUAUGUGGCAAUGAAUAAUGGAAGGGGAACAAAAGCGUCCACUGUCCCUCAUGUUUUAAAAUAUUUUUUUUAACACCCAGAGACGGCGCGCAUGCCAUUGAAUGAAUGAGACAUGCAUUACACACAUGCAUCCAAAGCAAGUAAUUGUGGCAUCAUUUGUUUUGGGUAUAAGGAAGGAAGCAACUUGUGCUUCACAUCUCCUCUGAAAGGACAGCCUCUCAUCUCCCAGCGAAAUAGGACCUCAAGUGCCAACCAAAUGAGCAAGUCAUGCGGAAAAGGACAGUUAAGCUAGAACGUCACAGACGCCCAGACCUGUCCCAAAACACAGGUGCACACAACGCCCCAGUCUAGCCCAGCCUGUCGUGAAGUCUUAUGUUUGUGCAAAGGGGUUUGUGCUUGUUCAACCUGUUUCCUCUCUACUCUGCUCUCGAAGCUGGAGUUUGUAAGCUUCUUGGGGAAAGGGCCUUUGGACUGCCCACCCAUUUUUGCUUGGCCACAAGGCAAUAAUACUGUGUAAAUAGUAAGGACCAGGGGUUAGGGGAGUUAUAGUCCAAUAACAAAUGGAGGGCACCAUACAGUGGUACUUCAGGUUAGACGCUUCAGGUUACAGACUCCGCUAACCCAGGAAUAGUACCUCGAGUUAAGAACUUUGCUUCAGGAUGAGAACAGAAAUCGCACAGCGGCGGCGCGGCGGCAGGAGGCCCCAUUAGCUAAAGUGGUACCUCAGGUUAAGAAGAGUUUCAGGUUAAGAACGGACCUCCAGAACAAAUUAAGUUCUUAACCCAAGGUACCACUGUACUAGGGAGAUUCGCCAAGCCCGCUCUUUCCUGUUUUUCCAUUUCCUGUCUUCUGGAAUUCUUUUUAUAAAUGGUUUGUUUUGCUUUUCCCAGCAUCGUGUUUUGAACUCAUGGUUGCUCUCUUACUGUAACCCCCUCAGGGAUGGAAAUUGCCUUCUCGUGCCAUACAUAGUGCCAUCUACUGAAAUAGCUCUAUAAUUUAAAUAGCUCCUCGACACAUCACGCAUCUAGUCAAGCACAAUAAAUUAAACUAAUUUACAUGAUUAAAUUGUCCAAGGGAUGAUCAUCAGUUGAUGUUGUUUAUCCCUCUGUCUUAUGAAUAUGGUAGCAUAUUAUCUCCUUCUAUAUUUGACCAAUAUGUUGUUACUUCAGCAGUUAAGCCGUUAUAGUUGUUGGGUUUUGGGGGUGUGGAGCGUGUGCAAGUGUGUGUUCCAGAGUUUUAUUUGUUUAUUGGUGCUUCUGUUUGGAAAACUGCAUUCAACAGUUUUUGAUACAUACAUAUAUAUAUAGAGAGAGAGAGAGAGAGAGAACCUUAAGAGUAAACAUUUACAAUAAAUCACAUGAAGCUGAACAUAAGGAGGAUUUGGGACAGACAAAAGACGGUAUAUCUUUAUGCAGUGCAUAAACUAUGGAAUUUAUUUUCAUAGGAGGCAGUGACGACCACCAAGUACCCCAUAAUGCUUAUAUUCUGCAGCCACAACUGGAGGCAGCCAUGCUUGAUGCAGCAGAGAGAAAGAAAAAAGCUAACGCUAUUCUAGGCUGCAUCAACAGAAAUACAUGUAGUGUCCAGACCAAAGGAAGUAAUAGUACCACUAUAUUCUGCCAUUCAUUCUGCCACACUAUAUUCUGCCAUUCAUUCAUCCAUUCUGAAUGAAAUCAGCCCUGAGUGCUCACUGGAAGGACAGAUCCUGAAGCUGAGGCUCCAAUACUUUGGCCACCUCAUGAGAAGAGAAGACUGCCUGGAAAAGACCCUGAUGUUGGGAAAGAUUGAGGGCACAAGGAGAAGGGGAUGACAGAGGAUGAGAUGGUUGGACAGUGUUCUCGAAGCUGCCAGCAUGAGUCUGACCAAGGUGCAGGAGGCAGUGGAAGACAGGAGUGCCUGGCAUGCUCUGGUCUAUGGGGUCACGAAGAGUUGGACACAACUAAACAACAAUAUUCUGCCUUGGUCAGUUCUGGGCGCCACAAUUUAAGAAGGAUGUUGGAACAUGUGCAGAGGAGGGCUACCAAGAUGAUCAAGAGUCUGGAAAUCAAGCCUUAUGAGGAACAGUUGAAGGAGCUGGAUAUGUUUAGCCUGGAAAAGAGGGGACUGAAAGGAGAUAUGAGAGCCAUCUUCAAAUAUCUGAAAGGCUGUCACAUGGAAGAAGGAACAAGCUUGUUUUCUCCUGCUCUGGAGGGUAGGACUCAGACCAAUGGCUUCAAGUUGCAAGAAAGGAAAUUUAGACUAAAUAUCAGAAAGAACUUUAUGGCAGCAAGAGCUGUUAGAUAGUGGAACGGGCUCCUUUGGAAGGUCGUGGGCUCUCCUUCCUUGGAGGUUUUUAAGCAGAGGUUCGAUGGCCAUCUGUCAUGGAUGCUUUAAGUUGAGAUUCUUACAUUGCAAGGAGUUGGAAUAGAUGACCCUGGAAGGUCCCUUCCAACUCUAUGAUUCUGAAUACCAGUUGCUAUUGCACUUGGGUCCUGCUUGCAGGCUUCACACUGGGGCAUCUGGUUGACUACUGUGAGACCAGGAUGCUGGACUGAAUGGGCCACUGGUCUGAUCCUGCCACAGGGCUCUCCUGAUGCAAUUCUUUCACAGGUUUGCAAAAAUUCAGCUUUUCAUGAGGCAGUACUCCCUGCACCCUGAAGCAGAAACCCAGCCCCACAGAGCAUUCACAGCCCUGCUUAUGGAUCUCUGGGAGUUUUUUUUUACCUGAAAAUGAGAGGGUGGGGAGGAGGAAGUUGCAAGAGUUGCUAGAGGCUCCAUUGCACAAGGGAAGCCUACACCACAAUGAGCCCUGCUGCCGCCACUCCUGCCGAAGAAAAGCAAAAUUGCAUCAGGGGCUCGAAAGUCAUCCUUUACUCACAUGAGGAUUCCGGCUCCUUGGAAAAGGGGGAGGGAGCAGGCAUUGUGAAAGAGGGGCCGUUUUGUUGUCUUGGGCAACCGGAGGCCGUUUAAGAAAAUAAAAUAGAUGACUGAAGAAGAAGAAGGAGAGGAGGAGUUUGGAUUUGAUAUCUCGCUUUAUCACUACCCGAAGGAGUCUCAAAGCGGCUAACAUUCUCCUUUCCCUUCCUCCCCCACAACAAACACUCUGUGAGGUGAGUGGGGCUGAGAGACUCCAAAGAAGUGUGACUAGCCCAAGGUCUAGCUGCAUGUGGAAGAGCGGGGACGCGAACUCGGUUCACCAGAUUACGAGUCCACCGCUCUUAACCACUACACCACACUGGUGAAGCUGUACCCACUUUCCAAGAUUGCUCCCACAAUCCAUGGCUGGCUCCAUGGCCUUGUUUCUGAAGAACAAGAUCUCAAGGCAAGAGCUGGGAUGCAUCAAGAAGGAAAAGCACUUGUGUCUGUGGAAAGCGUAACUUGUAAAGAACCACCCCAUAGCCACGUAGGAGGUUGCCUUCUACAGUGGUACCUCAGGGUACAAACACCUCAGGUUACAAACAGUUCGGGAUACAGACUCUGCUAAUCUGGAAGUAGUGCCACGGGUUAAGAACUUUGCCCCAGGAUGAGAAUAGAAAUUGCGGCGGCAGCGGGAGUCCCCAUUAACGAAAGUGGUACCUCAGGUUAAGUUUCAGGUUAAGAACGGACCUCCAGAACGAAUUAAGCUCGUAACUAGAUGUACCACUGUACCCAGACAGAGCAUUCGUGUUUGUAGCUCAAUAUCGUCUGCACGAUAUCAGCAGCAGCUCUCCAGGGUUUGAGGCAAGGACUCUAUCCUAGGCCCUACCCUGCAGGUUUGAUUUAUUUCAUUUCUUUCAAAUGAAUCUCAAAAGUGGCGUACAAACAAUCAAUAACAAUGACCUAAUAGAACAUCGCAAAUACAGUGGUACCUCAGGUUACAUACACUUCAGGUUACAGAUUCCGCUAACCCAGAAAUAGUGCUUCAGGUUAAGAACUUUGCUUCAGGAUGAGAACAGAAACUGUGCUCCAGUGGCGCGGCGGCAGCAGGAGGCCCCAUUAGCUAAAGUGGUGCUUCAGGUUAAGAACAGUUUCAGGUUAAGAACGGACCUCUGGAAUGAAUUAAGUACUUAACCCAAGGUACCACUGUACAUACAAAAUAAUUAACAAAUUAUAAAUAAAGCAAUCCAUAAAACACUAUUAGCAAAAUAGCAACUAAAAAAAAAAAUAAGCUAAGCACUGCUAAGUUCAUACACAUUCUCCACACCCCCAUGACUCGCAAUCCUUCUCUCUAUUCAGUUCACUAAAAUACAGUAGUACCUCUGGUUGCGAACGGGAUCCGUUCUGGAGUCCCAUUCGCAACCUGAGCAGAAUGCAACCCACGUCUGCGCACGUGUGGGUUGCAAUUCGCCAUUUCUGUGCAUGCGCGUGAUGUCAUUUUGAGCGUCUGCGUGAGUGGCAAAUCCAGAAGUAACCCUUUCUGGUACUUCCGGGUUGCCGCGGGACGCAACCUGAAAAGAUUUCACCCGAAGCGUCUUUAACCCGAGGUAUGACUGUACUUGUAUGGAAGACACAAGAUCCGCCCACUAGGGAAGAAUGGCAGAUGAAGUUGAUGGACUACAUGGAACUGGCGGAAAUGACUGGCAGAAUUCGAGACCAGGGAGAAGAGUUGGUGGAAGAAGAUUGGAAAAAAUUUAAAGUAUAUUUACAAAAAUAUAAUAAAAUUAAUGAAUGUUAGAUGGAUGUUGGAAUGAAGUUACAUGGUUUUAGCAGAAAUGUUAUUAAGAACUAAGUAAAAAUGGGUUGUUAAUGGGUUAAAGGGUAAAAUUUAAGGUCAGAUCGGGUUAAGGUAAUUUAUAGAACAAAAAUUGAGAAAGAUGGAAAGGAUUUGUUGAAACAGCUAAAUUGAAUUAGAAUACAAAAAAGGGAGGUGUGAGGAGGUCGAUGAAACAAGUAAAUGAAAGAUAAGGAUAUGGAAAUACUGGAUGUGUUUUUUAAAUGUUUUUGUUUUUAAAUGUUUUUGUUUUUGUUUUCCCUCAUUGUUGUGCUGUAUUGUUUCUUAUUUUUUUGUCUUUUUUAUGUAUUGUAUUGUAACUUUUUAAUUUCUUUUUUUAAUUUUUUUCUGUAAUUGUUAAAUUUUUAAUAAAUAUCUUUUAAAAAAAAAUAUGACUGUACUUGUAAUGUCUGUUGUUAAGCCAGCUCAGCCAGAUGUUGCGCGAGAUGCUGGGCACUGAACCUGGUGUUUUCUGUGUGCGGAACAGGGGCUCUACUACGAAGCCACAGCCCUUCCUCUACUGGCAACUGACACCAGCAGGUUAAAAUCAAGCUGGCCUUGAACUCUUGUCUGCUUCUGAAAGUAGAAAAGGGACCUGCUUCAAGGCAUGCACAGACGACGGCAAUGCUAGGCGACUAGUUGGUCGGGGUCUGAAGGCUGGAUUCCUCAGAAAGCUUGUCGCUCACUAGGAGAGUGAAAAACAACAAGAAACCAUCCCCUCUGUAUUGUGAGCCCAACUCUGUGGAACUCCCUCCCACUAGAAGUCAGGCAGAUGGUGACUCAGUCAUGCAGGAUAUUUUCCAUAGAGUUGGAAGGGACCCUGAGGGUCAUCUAGUCCAACCCCCUGCAAUGCUGGAAUCUCAGCUGAAGUAUCCAUGACUGAUGGCCAUCCAACCUCUGUUUAGAAACCUCCAAGUAAGGAGAGCUCACAACCGCCUAAGGGAGACUAUUUCACUGCUGAACAGCUCUUACUGUCAGCAAGUUCUUCCUUCUGUUUAGUCGGAAUCUCCUUUCUUGUAACCUGAAGCCACUGGUUCAGAUCCUACCCUCCGGAGCAGGAGAAAACAAGCUGGCUCCCUGUUCCAUGUGACAGCCCUUGAGAUACUUGAAGAUGGCUAUCGUAUCUCCUCUCAGUCUCCUCUUUUCCAGGCUAAACAUACCCAACUACCUCAAACGUUCCUCAUAAGGCUUGGUUUCCAGACUUUUGAUCAUCUUGGUUGCCAUCCUCUGCACAAGUUCCAGGUUGUCAAUAUCCUUCUUAACUUGCGGUGCCCAGAAUUGGGCACAGUAUUCCAGGUGUGGUCUGAGCAAGGCAGAAUAGAGUGGUACUAUUACUUUCCUUGAUUUGGACACUAGACUUCUGUUGAUGCAGCUUAGAAUAGCGUUCGCUUUUUUUUGCUGCUGCUGCUGCUGCUGCAUCACACUGUUGACUCAUGUUCAGCUUGUGGUCUAUUAUGACCCCUAAAUCCUUUUCACAUGUACUGCUAGUAAGCCAGGUGUCCCCCAUCUUAUAUUUGUGCAUCUGGUUCUUCCUGCCUAAGUGCAGAACCUUACAUUUGUCCCUAUUGAAAUUCAUUUUGUUACGUUUUGGCCCAGGUUCUCAAAUCUCUUAAGGUCAUUUUGAAUCCCAAUCCUGUUUUCUGUGGCAUUAGUUAUCCUUCCCAGUUUGGUGUCGUCUGCAAAUCUGAUGAGCACCCUCCCAGUUCCUGCAUCUGUUUAUAAAUCUAUUGAACAACAACAGGCCCCAGACAGAACACUGUGGCACUCCACUUGCCACUUUCCCCCCAGGGUGCUGAGGAACCAUUAGUAAUAAUUCUUUGGUUUCCGUCAGUCAACCAGCUACAAAUCCAAAUUUUGACCAAUUAAAUGUGCCUAUUUCACAGUCAAGGAACACUGAGGUGGAAACAUGAAGUGCUUAAGGGCAAGGCAAGAUGUGUAAAUAUAUCGUUUAUUUUUAUUUACAUGCAGUUUCACGGAACGAGUUGUUGUUCCAGUGGAGAGUACCAAAUAGGAAACACCAAGACUGAGAGAGAACAUUGCCACUGAGCAAGCAAUGCUAAGCGUAAGUACACUACAAUACUAUGAUCCUAUGAUGGCUGUGUUUUUGUGCAGUUGUGUGAAAGCCUCGCUGACUUACUGCAGCAAGGGGAACAAUCUACCAGUCCCCUGGGGUAAAGCAAAAACAGCAUAUGUACUUCUGCGUUUGAACAGAGAGCAUAACACUUAUUACUCAGUCCACACUCACCUUUCCCCAAGUUCCCAACUCCCUGCAAGCUAGAAAGUAAGUUAGUUAAAGAUCAGAGGGUAGUAGGUGCCAGUCAUCUAAAAGCCCCCAGGUCUUUCUCUCUCUCUCUAUGAAGAGCUGAAUGCCAGGUUAUGUUUGCAACAGUGUUGGUGGUUGCCUUGAAUUUUUGAUGGAUGCCAAUUACAGAUUUAAAAGCACUUAGUCACCCAUGCGCGGGUGAUAAAUCCUUUCAAACAGGUUUUUCCAACCUGCAGCGGAAAACCUCCUAUUCCUGCUGGGUUCAGGCCAUCAGCAUCCCUUUCCCCGCUUUUUAACAAGCCAAACAACGCCACCAAAGAAAAUAUUGAAGAGUCACUGAAGCCCAGUAAAAACUGACUCCUGGCCUGACUCUUUAUGAUACCCCCCAAUAUCCAGCUUGCUAUCAGAAGGUCACGUUUCUGUCCUACCAAAAGGAAAAAGGGGGUGCAGAGCCGUGCAAAAGCCAACAACGCAGGUUGAUCUAGAACACCUGAACGCAAUGAUUUACUCAACCGUGAGUCAAGGGUUCUCUGUCCAUGUUCAGGGACACCCUGUCAUAGCUUCGUUUUUGUUCCGGAGCUCAACUGUGGCAUUACGGACAUGCCUUUUCUUUUCCUUCAAGCGGAUGAAAGCCAAACUGAGUCAGAGUUGGGUGGCGACCCACGUCACCUGUUGCCCCAACUUCAAGUAUUCUUGAACCAGAAAAGAAUCCUGCUCCUUCCUCUCCCCCCCUUGCCCCUCCCCCUCCGCCAAGUGUUUCGUAAGUGUGUUACGUAAGAAGAGGAGCUCGGCUGAAUCAGAUGCCGAGUGACCAUCUAAAGUUUAAUCUAGAGGCCGAAGUGGUGCCCUAACAGGAAACUUGACCGGAAGGACACCUUCUCCCCUCCCGUUUUCAGCAGCUGACGUUCAAGGGAUAUUUCCCCCCUAGCAUUUUAGCAAUCAAUCAAUCAAUCAAUCAAUCAAUCAAUCAAUAUCAAGGCAGACUGCCUCUGAGCAUGGGAGGUUCAGUUUUAAGCCACCACCAUGGUUAAAAGGUCUUUGAUAGAGGUCUCCUCUGUGAAUUGGUUCCAUCUUUCCCCCCCUGACAGUCACCUGAGCUUUAAAAGACAAGAGCUGCAAGACAGAACCUAUCAUUAGGCAAAGUGAAUUAUCAUUAUUAUUAGCGUUCCACAGAUAGACAGACAGACAGACCAGGGCAGUUCAAUUUUUCAUGCCAAGUGGGCUGCAAGAGAACUUCCAACACAGGACCUGUGGGCCACACACUGAAGUAAAUUUCCAUAUCGUAAAUAAAAAGUGUUCAC